rnacentral:ncRNA from 1 species
GAGUAUCUGCCGCCGGGCAGAACAUCAUGCAUCGGUCCUGCACCGUUAGGCCUUUGAAGGUGCGGGAAGCCGGUGUAUUUUCUUUU